CGGGGUAGAGUAACGCGUGAGGAACCUGCCUCAAAGAGGGGGACAACAGUUGGAAACGACUGCUAAUACCGCAUAAGCCCACGGCUCGGCAUCGAGCAGAGGGAAAAGGAGUGAUCCGCUUUGAGAUGGCCUCGCGUCCGAUUAGCUAGUUGGUGAGGUAACGGCCCACCAAGGCGACGAUCGGUAGCCGGACUGAGAGGUUGAACGGCCACAUUGGGACUGAGACACGGCCCAG
rnacentral:rRNA from 1 species